rfam:Thermobrachium celere DSM 8682 genomic scaffold, scaffold33
CUGAAUACGAAAAAAACGCCGUAGACAGUAGGUGCCAGUAGGCAUAACGGGUAACCAACCUACCGAGGUUUUAGAUAUGAUAUUUAGGCCUCUCUAUGUCUACGGGAGGCCUUUUGUGUUGUGCAA